ACGGGAGGCAGCAGUGGGGAAUAUUGGACAAUGGGGGAAACCCUGAUCCAGCGACGCCGCGUGAGUGAAGAAGUAUUUCGGUAUGUAAAGCUCUAUCAGCAAGGAAGAAAAUGACGGUACUUGACUAAGAAGCCCCGGCUAACUACGUGCCAGCAGCCGCGGUAAUACGUAGGGGGCGAGCGUUAUCCGGAUUUACUGGGUGUAAAGGGAGCGUAGACGGCAUAGCAAGUCUGAAGUGAAAUGCAUGGGCUCAACCCAUGAACUGCUUUGGAAACUGUUAAGCUAGAGUGCAGGAGAGGUAAGUGGAAUUCCUAGUGUAGCGGUGAAAUGCGUAGAUAUUAGGAGGAACACCAGUGGCGAAGGCGGCUUACUGGACUGUAACUGACGUUGAGGCUCGAAAGCGUGGGGAGCAAACAGGAUUAGAUACCCUGGUA
rnacentral:rRNA from 1 species